rnacentral:lncRNA from 1 species
CUGUUAUUAUUUGAAAUAUUAUCAUUUUUUUUAGCCAAUUUGAGCCGGUAGGUUUAGAUCUUUUUGUUCGGUGACAAACUACAUUACAAGCNCGUACCGUCACUGGUUGGAGAAUGUGUAUAGACUACCGGAGGUUGAAUUCCGCAACUAGGAAGGAUCACUUCCCGUUACCAUUCAUGGAUCAAAUGAUUGAGAGGUUGGCUGGCCAAGCGUUUUACUGUUUCUUGGAUGGGUAUUCGGGGUAUAAUCAAAUAGCGGUGGCCCCGGAAGAUCAAGAGAAGACCGCAUUUACAUGUCCUUUCGGUGUGUUUGCUUAUAGGAGAAUGCCCUUUGGGUUAUGUGGUGCACCGGCAACAUUUCAACGGUGUAUGCUCUCUAUUUUCUCUGACAUGAUAGAGAAGAACAUCGAGGUAUUUAUGGACGACUUCUCUGUGUUCGGUAAGUCUUUUGAUCAAUGCUUGUUUCAUCUCGAUGCUGUCCUUAAAAGAUGCACCGAAACUAACCUUGUUUUAAACUGGGAAAAAUGUCAUUUUAUGGUGACCGAAGGUAUAGUUUUGGGGCAUAAAAUAAGUGCUAAAGGCAUAGAGGUGGAUUAAGCUAAGAUAGAGGUUAUAGAAAAACUUCCCCCGCCUGUUAAUGUUAAAGGGGUGAGGAGUUUCUUGGGGCAUGCCGGUUUAUAUCGGCGUUUCAUAAAAGAUUUUUCAAAAAUUUCAAAGCCCCUUUGUAACCUCUUGACCAAAGAAAAUGAGUUUAAUUUUGAUUCUGAUUGUGUAAAUGCUUUUUCUUUGAUUAAAACCAAGUUGGUAACUGCACCAAUAAUCAUUGCUCCCAAUUGGGAUUUACCUUUUGAACUUAUGUGUGAUGCAAGUGAUUAUGCUGUUGGUGCAGUCCUAGGCCAACGGAAGAACAAAUUUUUCCAUGCAAUUUACUAUGCAAGCAAAGUGUUAAAUGAAAAUCAAGUUAACUAUGCCACAACUGAAAAGGAGUUGCUUGCAGUAAUAUUUGCAUUGGAAAAAUUCCGUUCUUAUCUAAUAGGCUCCAAAGUCAUUGUUUUUACAGAUCAUGCAGCAUUGAAGUAUCUAUUGACCAAAGGAGAUUCGAAGCCUCGACUGUUGAGGUGGAUUCUCUUGUUGCAAGAGUUUGAUCUAGAGAUUCGUGACAAAAAGGGAGUCGAGAAUGUGGUGGCUGAUCACCUCUCCAGGUUGGACAACAAGGAGGUGACUAAGAAANCUGUAACCCUAGAAGAGGGUCCUAACUCAAGGGAUUGAUUAGGACUAUUUUGUUAACUAUCGUAAAACUAGCGACUCAUUCACAAGAAUAGGUGCAGUAUCCCAAUUAGGGGAACAUAGAUGAUUCGAAAGACCUAAACUCAUCUCUCUCUUAUUCUUUAAAUGAAUCUUUAUUUUCUGUUAUUACUUAUGCAAACAAACCAAUCAACUGCCUAGCGGCAAAUUAAAAGAACUUUUAUACAUCUUAAGUUACAACGUAAUUGAAUUAUUGAGAUUAAAACCAGUCCUUGUGGAACGAUAUUUUUACUACUUCGAUAGUAUUUGGUACACUUGCCAAAAAUCUAUCAGGGGUUAAAUUUGAUGUGUGUUGUUUUAAUUUUGUCUAUUCUUUAAUUUAGCAAUUCUUAAAUUUGAUGUGUAUUCUUUAAUUUAGUCGAUUCUUAAAUUUGACGUGUAUUCAGUUAACUAUAGCUAAUUUGAUGUGUAUUCUCUGAUGUCUUAUUUUUUUGAGAGCAGAAGUUGGGAUGGUUAGGAUUUUGCCAGGCUGCAUUUCUUGCUGAGAGGACAUCUUUGACAUGCAUUGAUUACCUAGGCUAUACAUGGACGUUGAUGAUGGAUUUAUGUGAAGAUGAUGGUUUGUCAUGUGUUUUCUCUCGUGAGUGGCCGGCGCAAUGCAGUGCCCGUAAGCUGGUGGAAGGAAACAAGAUCAAGUUUGGUGUAACUGAGGCAGCUAACAAUAGGAUCGUUUUCAUGUGCCCUCCUCCGAUGUUGGUUCUCCGGACUGCAGUACCUCCCUCCACAAGCACCGGUGAAGAUGGACCAGCUUUUCAAGUUGAGUUGUAUUUCUGGGCAAAUUAGAUUUUGGAAGUAGUUGUUUUAUGGGAGGGAAGUCCUGGUUGAUAUCAGCAGUGUGAUGUUGUGAUGUUGUUUUUAUUUUGUUGUAUCUUGGGUAGUUUUGGAAGUUCGUUUCAUGUUUUUGUGUUGUAUUUGUCAACUUAAUGUUUUUUUAAGUAGAAGACUUGAUGUAAUGUUGUUGUGCUAUUGAAUGUGAAGUUAAGUGUUAUCUUGGUGUUCAUCUUUGCUUGCAAUUUCUUUUUUUGAUAUAUAAGAUCUACUUGGUUUUCUUUGGGUGUUUGUAUUUCAUACAAGAAAAUCAGAAUUGUUUGAAUCCAGUAUACAGAUAAAUCUCUAAUGCAAGCAUUGCAUAUUAGUUAUAGUUAAAUGAUUGUGUAAGGGGAGCUAAGUGGGAUAUUGGAAUAAUUCAUACAUGUAAUUAAUGGAUGCAAGAAAUAUGAAUUUGAAAUUAUGUAUGCUUUCUUUACAAAAUAAGUGUUGCUGGAUUUUUUCUGGUGAUCGUACACAAUUGAUUGUAAUAUAGAAAUUUGCUUUCAAAUACUUAAAAAUAAUCUUCAUGGGGGGAUGCAUCUUCAUUCUUCAAAGCCUAACCGUGCAUUUGUGCUGAUGUCAUUGUUUUGAUUUUUAGCAAUCAAUGUUGUAGUUUUUCUAGGGAACUAGGUUGGUAUCAUCAGGUAGUGUACUUAAAUUACAUUGGAAUUAGGGUCUCAAUAUGAGAAUGAAAUCCAAGUGGCAUGUAGAGUUUGUGAUAAGUUGUGUUUUGAAGUGCUUAACAGGUGGUUAUGGAUGUGUGACAUUGGGGGCUGUGAUAAUUAAUGUUGUGCAGACAGAUAUUUUUGCUGGCGCAUGCAUGGAUUUUAAAUGCUGUGUCUGCAUGUUGUAUAUCUAAUUAUGGUGUGAUUUUUCCUUGCCAAGUGCUGCACAAUGAACUCUAUUUUCUUUGCUGAUUUUUCUGCCAUGUGUUAUCAUGUGUUUGGCGUUCAGUUAUACGUCCCUACACACAGCCAACCUAUGACCAUCAUUAUUUGAAGUUGAUAUAUGUUCAUGAGAAUAUGUAUGGACAUUCUCAGAGCAUGUGUGAAAUACGGCCAAUAAUAACCUUUCUGACAGUUCAUUAUAGUUCUUUUUUUGUAAUUAUUGCAUAUUUUGAUUUGCUGAACCAAUUGGAUUCAUGGAUGUUCCAUGUGUGUAUUGCACUAGCAUUUAUUGAACUAAGCCUCGUGUGCAUUUUUUGUUACAUGUGUAUAUCGAACCAAGUUGGUUUGUACUUUUUGUAUGUCAUGUACUUUAAGAGAUGGUUAUAAACCCUUGCCCUUUCUUCUCUACACACAAUCUCAUUUAGUUGUAGACUGGUUAAACUUAGACUAUUAUCUUACACUUUGUUUUUUAAGUUCACAACAUGUUCACUUGGGGAGAAACGAGUUUGAGAGAUGCGCUUAUUGAAAAUGGGGAUGGGAUCGUGACUUUGUCUGGUUUGUUGUUAUUUGGAUACCUUUUUAUUUCAUUUUAUUUUGUGGUUUGAGCAUCAUUUCUCUAAACAUGUUAUGUUGAUUAUCUCAAUUGCAGAUCUUGGAGCUGUUGGUUCUUAUGCCAAGAUUGAUGAGGAUCACGAGAUGUCCAAUGACAGAGGCAAUGUUUUGAAAGGUCAUCUUUUGAAUGAUAUGAAGGGGAUGCUUACAUUGGCAGGUUUGUUUGUUUCGUUUGUCACCAUUGUGCUGCAAGUCCAUGCAUGAGUUUUUUUUUUAUGAUUUUCUGACAUGUUAGGUAGUUUUCUCUUAUUUACAGACCUUGGACUUGGAUGUGGAUUGGAGAGGCCGAGGCUUUGAUGUAUAGGACGUAUUUUGUUGACUUUGACGCCACGCUUGUGAGUGAUUAUUGUAUCUGAGGAGGGUGUUAAUAUUUUCUAAACACUAUGGCAUGUCUCUAUUUACUUUUUUGCUUAUGUAUGAUUUACGUAUUGAGUUGUGUCCUUAAUGUUUCAGGCGAGAUGUAGAUUGCCUGUAUGUUUUGUUAAGGAUUAUGGCGCAUAUGUUGAAGAUUAUGUGAUGCUCUUUGAUCCACAAAACAAUGAGAUUGAAGUUCAUGUGGAAAAGAAGCUGAACAAAAUUUACCUUAGGGAUGCUUGGUAUGGCUUGAAGGAUUUCUACCGCAUAAGUCUUGGUGGAUGGGUCGACAUUACCUACGAGAGCCCAAGGUUGUUUAAGAUGACUGUGCGAAAUAGAUUUGGUCAGGAGAUUAUCUAUCCCACUCAGGCCUCUCCUAUUGUUGCAAAAUUGGAUCGUCGUAUCGUCAAUGGUGGCUUGGUGCAUUUUCUGGGUGCAACGACUAUGGUUUUAACUGCGGCUGAUGCUUAUUCUGGUUUUUUGGUAAUUUAUGGCUUUUCAGUAUAGUUUUUUGAUCAUAUUGUUUUAUGUGACGUUAUCUACGGUAUUAAGAUUGGUUGUGUUAUGCAAUUACGCAACAGAUGUUGUCGUGGUUAGGAUUUUGUCGGCAGGUCAUGCCUCCUAAUGAUGGUGACAUUAGGUUUAUUGAUUACUUGGGCUUUGCUUGGAAGUGUGACUUCAAGUUUGUCCAACAUGACAACAAACUUGCCUGCAGGAUUGGUGGUGAUUGGGGCAAGAUUUGCAGGUCACGAGGUUUUGUGGAAGGCCGUAAAUUGGACCUUGCUAUCACUAAGGAAAGAGACAACGAUACGGUGUGGCUGAGAUAUGUUCCUGUGCCCUCUCAGAAUGAUGAACUUCUCCGGGGAAUGCUGCCAAAAAUGUGGCUAAAUGGCGAUGCUGCUUUGUUCGCCCGACAAGGUUGCAGAUACUUUUGAUGUUGGUUGGUGUUUUGUAUGUUGGUUUGUUGACACCGCAGACAAUUUUAAAUAUUAUGUCUUGUGUUUUUCUUCGCAGAUGCUGACGUUGAUCAUGGUACAUUCCAAAGGUAUGCGGCACAGCUGAUGACGUAUCGUGUCGAGUUUCAGAAAGACACUGUUAGUAUCGUCACUUAGUGUAUCUUUGUCACAUUUUUGUAUGUUUUUUUUGUAUGCAUGUCCCAUUUGACACCGUAAAAUCAUUUAUUCGACUGCUGCGUGACUAUAUGUCAUGGUUAGUGUUGUGUUCUGCAACUGCAUGGUUGAGAAUAUUGUUUAUUAUGGUUGUACUGCAAUUGAAUAGGGUCUGUCAGUUAUCACAUGCUUUGUAUUAUUCUAAAUUUUCGUCAAUUUAUUGGAAGUAAGUGAUGUGAUUAUUUUACGGUGCUGGUUUGUUGUUUGCGAUUAGUUUGUGUUUCGUUCAUUGAUCAGCUUGCAAGGUAACUGAUUUGCACUGCACUGCUUCAUCUUAUUAAUCAAAUUAUACUGGUUAUUUCUCCAUGCAUGUGGUCUCGGAUACUCUACCGCAAGAUAAGCAUUUGUCCUAUUUUGCGCUUAUGCAUUGGUUGUAUGUAAAGGUUAUCUCAAAGUAUAAUCCUUGCGGUGUUACCUAUGGGCUUGUGUUUAUCACUUGAUCAUGAGUCUGCAUAGUAUUUUAUGUAGAUGCAUUUAUGUUUGGAUUGAAAAUAUUCAUAAUGUGUUUGUUCAUUUUAUAGUCAAAGGCCAGGCUUCCUCCAUGUUUUGCAAAGGAAUAUGGCAUCCACAUUGAUGAGUGUGUUGCACUGCGCGAUCCUAAAGGCAAUAUGACAGUUGUGGACGUCAACAAUAAGAAGGGGAAGAUUUAUUUCAAGCAUGGUUGGCUGACGUUGGGGACUGUUUACGAUAUAGAGCAGGGGGCAUGGGUGUACCUGACAUAUGUACGGCCAAACCUUUUGGCCAUGACUUUAAAGGCUAGGACUGGUAUUGAAGUGUCCUAUCCUAAUAACCCAUCUCUUGCCAUUCCUAGGUUCAUCAACCCUGCGGGUGAAGCAUGUCCCGUGUAGUUUUGUCGCACAUAUGUCAAGAUACUGACCUCAUAUCACGUCUGUUCUGGUUAUUUGGUAUAUAGUCCCAACUGUACUAUGUUAUAUUGAUUAUGUGUGUAGUUUCAUGUUUACUAACUUUAUCAAUCGCUAAAUCAUUUCGUUUGCAGAUGCUGCGUUGGAAUGGAUUUUGCCGAGAUGUAUUUCCAGCUCAAGAGAGUACCCUCACUAUUGUUGAUUCCCUGGGGUUCAAUUGGAAGUGCAGUUUGGAGUUUGUGAUUGUUGACAACACUAUGUGGUGCAAAAUUGGCGGAGAUUGGGGGAUCAUUUGUGCACGCAUAACUUGAUUGAUGGAAAUGCUCUAAAGCUUGCUGUCAUUAAGGAAAAGUGCGAUGUUGUUAUUGUGUUCAAGCAGAUGCUUUUGCAGCGGGUUCGUAAACAUUAUGUCAAGCCCCUUUAUCUAGUUGGUGGAAACUAUGUGUAUCAGGUUAAUCACUAUAUAAUGUGAUUAAAUGAAUGAAUUAGUGGACCUAUGUGUUAGCUGAUGAAAGUGUGAUUAGGUCUGAUCUAGCGUCUGUCUUAUGCGGCGACGUAUUUUGGUUUAUCAUUUUUGCUAUAAAUUGGAUAUUUUGUUCUUUCGCGCCAAUCUGUGGGAUUAUAUUUUGGUUUGGUUGUAUUGUUUCACGCAAUGCAAUGCUACUCUUUCUUUUGCGUGUUUAUUUAUACAGAUAUUAUGACUUCUUUCAUCUUAAAUCCUUGCCAUCGUUGUUUGCUAUACUUACUGUGUGCGGAUUUAUCUUUCCCUUACUAACAAGUAAUCACUAUAUGCGCGCAUUCAUAAUUCUCUACAUUUUGGUGGAUGGAAUUUGGUUUUAUGUGUUUCAUUUAUGAGAAGAAAAUUAUCUUUGUUGAAGAGUUAUCAAACAACAUACGAAUUACAUGAUAGUAGGUUAUGUAGAUUGGUAUUCUAACUUAUUUACAACCAAUUUCAAACAGUUAUUUUUCUACCCUUCCGUAAGUAGUAGAUCUCGUGUGAUUGUGUUCAUAUUCAUAGUUAUGUCACGUUUAUAAUGUCUGUCAAAGUUUUCGGAAUAUACUAUUUUUAGUACAUGAUACUUAUAUAACUAUUUAACCGGAUUUCUUUCUCGCCUUUAGAUAUUGCAGCUAUAUUUAACUAAAUUUUGAUACGUCCAUGAUUGAGUUCAUUCUUCGCCUGAUAUAAUAGAACCAUAAAUUGUAUUAAUGACCCAUUUCUAGAGGUCAUGCCAACGACUGCAUUUUACCUAUUUGUAUGUUGUUCGCGUGAUGGAAUGGCCCCACCAACUUAUUCAUCCGAGAAUGAUUCCAUUGAUGAUUGAGAUACAUGACUAUGAUUAGUUAUUUUUCGAGAUGUUGUUGUUUGCGAUUCAUUUUCAUAGGAGUAUCGCUCAUUCAUUAUUUGCUUGUGCAGUAAUGUGAGGGACAAAUUCAAAAACACAUGCACCAUAUAAAUGGGUGUUUUAGAUAUCUGCUAUAUUUUUAGGAAUGCCACAUUUCUCUUAAUAAUUAGACAUGCUAUCCCACCAAGGGUGGGCAAUAUCAUGAAAUAGGAUAUGGUCUAUAUUUGAAUUGCUCCUUUCCAGCGCACAUUGUAAUUAGACUUCUAUACUGUGAUCUCAUGAUAACAUAAUUUACAUAUAGGGGUUCUGUUCAGUGAUGUCAGCGGACUCAUAUGAAGUCAUCUUGACAGUGAAUAACAGUGGUUGCAUGGUUGGCUAACAUGAUUAUCAGCACCCAGAUUGCACGUUUUUAAAUGUCAUCAUCAUGAGUGCUUUCUACUUGAGCCACCUCAAGCUUACAUACAUGAUGUCAUCUUCAUUCUUCCAUGUUACCAAAUGUGUUGUGAUCCCAACUCUUACAUGAAUAUAUCGCUGCACGCUAACGCAUACAGGGAAUGAUGAAGAACAUAUGGUGUAUGUUUGUCUGGCAUAGAUAUCAUUGCUCACUUGACCCGCUCUCCUAUGCCAUCUAUAUGAGAGCGUCCUAUCUAGAACAAUCAAAUUCCUAUGUUCCUAGCGUCACCGUGAUGAUUGUAUGCGGCCUAAGCGAUAAUAAUACAUCAUCUAUUAUGUCAUGUAAAUGAUUGUGCAGUAACUAGGAUCCUUGCAAAGUAUUUCUACUUAUUACACGUGUGUAUUGAUGGACAAAUGUCAUAUUUGGUGGUAUGGUUGCUCCUUUUCAAUGGAAUGUUUGUUUUCUAUGGAAUAACCAAUAACAAUGUCACAUGUGCUUAUCCUUUUCUGUGCAGGCUCAGUAAUAUCAGUUAAUUCCUGGACAUGUGCUUAUCCAUUACUAUAAAUGCAGCAUUUUGCACCUAAAAUUACAUCUGCAACUUUUGUUUGCUGCGUUGCUAAGUAUCUGUUUUGCAAGAUGAUGACCAAGAGAGGUAAUUCAUUGUUUCAAUUGGUUUUUAUAAAUGAUUCCAGGAGUGCUGUUGUACCCUGAUUUUGGACCUAAAAAAUACUUGUUCAAAUUUCUUUUCUAACACUGAUAUUUGUCAAUUCUCUGUUAUUUUACUCUGAAUCUUUACUCUCUUUUUAAACGUAUUUUACUGCCUCUGUCUUUUCUGACAUUACAAGUCAUUUAAGAACUCUCUGAAGUGUCGCAUUACUUUUCUUGCAUUUUAUUUCAAAAAUCAUACAAAAGGGUAUUUUGGUCAUUUCCUGUAGUGGAACCCAUUUUAGUCCCUGUGUUUGCCUCUGAGUCUUUUCAANNNNNNNNNNNNNNNNNNNNNNNNNNNNNNNNNNNNNNNNNNNNNNNNNNNNNNNNNNNNNNNNNNNNNNNNNNNNNNNNNNNNNNNNNNNNNNNNNNNNNNNNNNNNNNNNNNNNNNNNNNNNNNNNNNNNNNNNNNNNNNNNNNNNNNNNNNNNNNNNNNNNNNNNNNNNNNNNNNNNNNNNNNNNNNNNNNNNNNNNNNNNNNNNNNNNNNNNNNNNNNNNNNNNNNNNNNNNNNNNNNNNNNNNNNNNNNNNNNNNNNNNNNNNNNNNNNNNNNNNNNNNNNNNNNNNNNNNNNNNNNNNNNNNNNNNNNNNNNNNNNNNNNNNNNNNNNNNNNNNNNNNNNNNNNNNNNNNNNNNNNNNNNNNNNNNNNNNNNNNNNNNNNNNNNNNNNNNNNNNNNNNNNNNGUUUAGAUCUUUUUGUUCGGUGACAAACUACAUUACAAGCUUAGAGACUUUUAGGAUUUAUCCCUUAUUGUUUUUCUGAGUUAGGCAUUGUAGAAUGUUGCUAAAUAUUAAGUUUGGGGUUGCUAUUGGAAUUUGCAACCAACUAAGUUUGGGGUGGGGGUACUAGAGAACAAAGAAAAA